AAUUUGAGAGGAGCUGUCCUUAGUACGAGAGGACCGGGAUGGACGUACCGCUGGUGUACCAGUUGUUCCGCCAGGAGCACCGCUGGGUAGCUAUGUACGGAAGGGAUAAGCGCUGAAAGCAUCUAAGCGUGAAGCCCCCCUCAAGAUGAGAUUUCCCAGUAUGUAAGACCCCUUGAAGACGACGAGGUAGAUAGGUUGGGGGUGGAAGUGCAGCAAUGCAUGGAGCUGACCAAUACUAAUCGGUCGAGGGCUUAUCCUAAA
rnacentral:rRNA from 1 species